rnacentral:lncRNA from 1 species
GGUAAAUAAAAAGCAAAGACUUGUGGGGUAUAACAAGUGUAUCCUUUCCCUCAUAAGGAAAAGAGGAGUCGCAGGAUAUGGUGAAAAACUGCCAGCUGUCCUUCCUUGUCUGAUACAAAAGAUCAUUUUUCUUCAGCCUAGACCCAGCGAGGUGUCAGAUCUGUGAGGGGAGGCAGAAAGUAAAUAAAGGGGCAAAGGGAGAGACGCUGACUCCUUGCACAUCUGAAUACUAUCCUUCUGUCAGAAAACCUGCUUUAUGGAAAGAGGAAUAAUCUGCAGAGCACAAGACUGAUAAAUCUAAAUGGAUUGAAACCUGCGUGUAUUUAAGAUGAAUGAUCAAAAGAGCCAAGUGGCACAAAGCACAAAUGGGAUACGAGAAACAACAGUAAUAAUGAAGGCAAUUAGUUUACUUUCUCUGAGAGAACAAGAUGCUUGCUGCCAAAUGAAUAUCAAAUUGCUUGGCAGCUGGGGAUGGUAUAUGAGGGGGCAGGAGCAGAGUAGUGAAUUGGCAGUGGUUAUCCUUUUCUCUGUUUCCUAAAGAAGUUCUGGGGCAGGAGCAGAUGGGAGAAGGAUGUCCCUUUCUGGCCCAGCAGGGAUAUCCUGCCCCCCAGGACACAGGGGACCUGUAGACCUAUGCUGUUGAGCUGGAAUUUUCUGCUGGAUCUUCUGGAGGUGCUUCCAGCCCCAACACUGGAUGUGAAUCACUGUUUUCCUAAAAGCUCAACUAUGAGGAUGCUGAAAAGUCCGAUGAGAUUAAUUUUUGAGAAGGGGGAGUGAGGUGGGGUGUUUUUGGUUUGAAGAGAUAGUCAUCUUCCAGAAGAUUUUAAGGUCUGAUUUCUGUGCAGAAAAUGUAGCUGAAGGCAAUGGCUGAGCCUGUCUGAUGUUAAAACACAAGAAAGCAGAGACUAAGGAAAACUGGAAAGCUAAAAGUGGUGUCCUAUGGCUGUUGGCCUUGAGGAACUGGCUACUAAUAGUUGAACAUCAAGAGAAUUUAAAUCCUGUGGUGAAACUGUCCUUGAACAGCUCUGCAGGAAAUACAGAGUUAAAGCAGGAACAGACAGAUGAGCCUUGGCUUUCACAGCAUGCAUAUGAUUUAUCAGGCAUUGCGUUCUUUCCCUGA